GAUGCGGUGGCCUAAUGGUUAGCGCGUUGGACUCCGGAUCGAGCGGUCCGGGUUAAAGCCAUGACCGGGGGUCACUGCGUUG